UGCGUAGGCGGUUAAUUAAGUUGGAUGUGAAAUUCCCGGGCUUAACUUGGGAGCUGCAUUCAAAACUGGUUAACUAGAGUUCAGGAGAGGGAAGCGGAAUUCCUAGUGUAGCGGUGAAAUGCGUAGAUAUUAGGAGGAACACCGGUGGCGAAGGCGGCUUUCUGGACUGACACUGACGCUGAGGCACGAAAGCGUGGGGAGCAAACA
rnacentral:rRNA from 1 species